rnacentral:rRNA from 1 species
ACGAACGCUGGCGGCGUGCUUAACACAUGCCAGUCGAACGGAAAGGCCCUGCUUGCCGGGUACUCGAGUGGCGAACGGGUGAGUAACACGUGGGUGAUCUGCCCUGCACUUCGGGAUAAGCCUGGGAAACUGGGUCUAAUACCGGCUAGGAGCCAUUUUUAGUGUGAUGGUUGGAAAGUUUUUUCGGUGUAGGAUGAGCUCGCGGCCUAUCAGCUUGUUGGUGGGGUAAUGGCCUACCAAGGCGGCGACGGGUAGCCGGCCUGAGAGGGUGGACGGCCACAUUGGGACUGAGAUACGGCCCAGACUCCUACGGGAGGCAGCAGUGGGGAAUAUUGCACAAUGGGCGCAAGCCUGAUGCAGCGACGCCGCGUGGGGGAUGACGGCCUUCGGGUUGUAAACUCCUUUCGCUAGGGACGAAGCUUUUUGUGACGGUACCUAGAUAAGAAGCACCGGCUAACUACGUG